rnacentral:lncRNA from 1 species
GAAUGGCGUGAACCCGGGAGGCAGGGCUUGCAAUGAGCCAAGAUCGCGCCACUGCACUCCAGCCUGGGCGACAGAGCGAGACUCCGUCUCAGAAAAAAAAAAAAAGAAAGAAAUUGGCUUGGAGAUUUUUCGCCGGCCACUCCUUCUUGAGCCCUGACUGAAAAGAAAAAUGAACAGGGCUACCUUCUGCCUGGACUCACCCAAAAGCCGGUCUCCUGCAGCCUGAAGCUCUUGUACCUCUAGGCUGAAGAUGAUGAGGAUCACAGGAGGAGGAAGGCUGCCAACUUCAUGUUGCUGUUGGAAGGCUUUGGAAAAACACAGCAGGGCUGAGAGCAGCUGAAAUUUAUACCUUCCACCCGCUGAGCUGGAAUGCAAGGCCAGGGGUGGGACUAGGGACUGCAGACACCUAAGCCCUGCCCAGAAACUGACAUUUCUGGAGAAUAGCCACCCACCCUGUGUACCCUGGGUCCUUCUACAUUACCUAAGCAAGGCUCUGAGCCAAGGGAACGCCCUCCUCUGACAGAAAAAUAAGACUCCUACACCAGGCCAGUUGCAGUGGCUCACAUCUGUAAUCCCAGCACUUUGGGAGGCCAAGGCAGGAGGAUCAUUUGAGCCCAGGAGUUCAAGACCAGCCUGGGUAACAAGAGCAAGACCCUGUCUCUACAAAAUUAAAAAAAAAAAAAGUUAAAUAAUGAAAAAAAAAAAAAAAAAA